GCGGAUGUGAUGGAAUUGGCAGACAUGCAGGAUUUAGGUUCCUGUGCCGCAAGGCGUGUGGGUUCGAGUCCCUUCAUCCGCACCA
rnacentral:tRNA from 1 species